rnacentral:rRNA from 1 species
UACGUAGGUGGCAAGCGUUGUCCGGAUUUACUGGGCGUAAAGAGCGCGCAGGCGGUCGUUCAAGUCGCGUGUGAAAGCCCCCGGCUCAACUGGGGAGGGUCACGCGAUACUGAUCGACUCGAAGGCAGGAGAGGGAAGUGGAAUUCCCGGUGUAGUGGUGAAAUGCGUAGAUAUCGGGAGGAACACCAGUGGCGAAGGGCGACUUCCUGGCCUGUUCUUGACGCGUG